GACCCCCUCAAACCAUCCCCGUAGCCUGCACCAUGUCUGUGAUCAAGUGAGACACCCCGUGAAAUUUCCCUGGGAAUCCCCGCUCUGGCCAAACACCGGUUCUGUGUCCAGGCAAAACAUUCCCAGCCCCCAAACUUGGUUUCCCCCCCAAACUGCCACCUUGGCCUGAGCUGCAUCUCUGCCUAGAUGAGACCCCAAAAAAGCCCCCAAGAACCCCCCACCUGUCCUGCACCAGGUCUGGGCCCCGAUGAAACACCCCCAAGACCCCCCAGGCCAAGGUAACCCGCCCCAAAUUCCCCUUCUGUGGUCUGCACCACAUCUGUGCCCAGGUGAGACCCCCAGAAACCCACCAGGACAUGCCCUAGCCUGCACCACAUCUGCUCACAGCUGACGGCGGAACGGCGAAGUGUCCGGGCAGCAGGCAACGGCCUGGGGACAGACCCCCCCCGGCUGGGGGAGCCUCCCCUGCAGGUGGAGUUCCCAGCCCCCAAGAGUGAGGUGGUUCAGCGCUUCCCUGUGUGUUACCUGGGCUGUGUCCCUGUUGCCAAGCC